UCCCUGGUGGCACAGUGGUUAAGACUCUGCACUCCUGAUGCAGGGGGCCUGGGUUCAAUCCCUGGUCAGGGAA